AGUCAAAACUCUACCAAUUGCCAGUGGUGAAGCUGGUAUAAGCCACGUAUCUCUGAGCCAAUUUUCUUAUCAUCAAAGUGAAGACAAUAGCACCAGCCAUACCUUCCUUAGGGCGUUUUGCAGGCUAAAUGAGAUAGUGGGUGAGAAAGCAUCUUCAGAAUUGCUACCCUCUUUUGAACUAUAGUGUUGCUGUUGGUAAUAACAUAAGCAGAGCUGAAUGGGGAGUUCCUAAGCAACCAUCUGAACUCGGGUCCCUCGUUGGCUGCUCGUCAGAUUUCUCUCUUCAAUUCCAAGCGCAUCUUAUGUAAACAAUAGUGUCUAUGAUAGUGGAUGUGAUUGUGUGCUACCUGGAUCUCCUAGCUGAAAUCCUUCGAAGAAUUUCCUUCAGUCAAUGGGAGCCACCUCCCCUGAGGUUAUGGCUCCAGGUGAAGAUUAAACAGCUGUAGAAGUGUCAUCCAAGAUUGGCCAAUGCUGUUCCUGAGAGUCCUUCCUGGAGAGCCAUCUGCACACAGAUCUCAGUCUCAGAGUCUAUUUCCCAAUGAAUCUAAUCUGAGAGAUCUCUUCAUUUGCUGUUUUUUCCCUGUA
rnacentral:lncRNA from 1 species